rnacentral:rRNA from 1 species
GACGAACGCUGGCGGCGUGCUUAACACAUGCAAGUCGAACGGAAAGGCCCUGCUUUUGUGGGGGGCUCGAGUGGCGAACGUGUGAAUAACACGUGAGUAACCUGCCUUUUACUUUGGGAUAACUUCAGGAAACUGGGGCUAAUACCGGAUAGUAGCUCCUGCUGCAUGGUGGGGGUUGGAAAGUUUAGGCGGUUGGGGAUGGACUCGGGGGUUAUCAGCUUGUUGGUGGGGUAGUGGCUUACGAAGGCUUCGACGGGUAGCGGGCCUGGGAGGUUGGCCGGCGACAUUGGGCCUGAGCUACGGCCCAGACUCAUAGGGGAGGAAGCAGUGGGGAGUAGUGCACAGUGGGCGGAAGGCUGAGGCAGCAACGCCGGGUGCGGGAUGAUGGCCUUCGUGUUGUAAAGCGCAUUCGCCUGUGACGAAGCGUGAGUGACGGUAAUGGGAAAAGAAGCACCGGCUAACUACGUG